AUUGAACGCUGGCGGCAGGCCUAACACAUGCAAGUCGAGCGGAUGAAGGGAGCUUGCUCCUGGAUUCAGCGGCGGACGGGUGAGUAAUGCCUAGGAAUCUGCCUGGUAGUGGGGGAUAACGUCCGGAAACGGGCGCUAAUACCGCAUACGUCCUGAGGGAGAAAGUGGGGGAUCUUCGGACCUCACGCUAUCAGAUGAGCCUAGGUCGGAUUAGCUAGUUGGUGGGGUAAAGGCCUACCAAGGCGACGAUCCGCAACUGGUCUGAGAGGAUGAUCAGUCACACUGGAACUGAGACACGGUCCAGACUCCUACGGGAGGCAGCAGUGGGGAAUAUUGGGCAAUGGGCGAAAGCCUGAUCCAGCCAUGCCGCGUGUGUGAAGGAGGUCUUCGGAUUGUAAAGCACUUUAAGUUGGGAGGAAGGGCAGUAAGUUAAUACCUUGCUGUUUUGACGUUACCAACAGAAUAAGCACCGGCUAACUUCGUG
rnacentral:rRNA from 1 species